ACUCCUACGGGAGGCAGCAGAGGGGAAUAUUGCACAAUGGGCGCAAGCCUGAUGCAGCCAUGCCGCGUGUAUGAAGAAGGCCUUCGGGUUGUAAAGUACUUUCAGCAGUGAGGAAGGUGGGUAUGUUAAUAGCAUAUUCAUUUGACGUUAGCUGCAGAAGAAGCACCGGCUAACUCCGUGCCAGCAGCCGCGGUAAUACGGAGGGUGCGAGCGUUAAUCGGAAUUACUGGGCGUAAAGCGCAUGCAGGUGGUUUGUUAAGUCAGAUGUGAAAGCCCGGGGCUCAACCUCGGAAUUGCAUUUGAAACUGGCAAACUAGAGUACUGUANAGGGGGGUAGAAUUUCAGGUGUAGCGGUGAAAUGCGUAGAGAUCUGAAGGAAUACCGGUGGCGAAGGCGGCCCCCUGGACAGAUACUGACACUCAGAUGCGAAAGCUGGGGAGCAAACAGGAUUAGAUACCCUGGUAGGCUACU
rnacentral:rRNA from 1 species